ACUGUGUUGUUCGUUGUUGUAUGUAUUUGUAUGUCUAUUGUAUCAGAGGAGCCGGUUAUACUGUGUUGUUCGUUGUUUGUAUGUAUUUGUAUGUCUAUUUUAUCAGAGGAGCCGGUUGUACUGUGUUGUUCGUUGUUAUAUGUAUUUGUAUGUCCAUUUUAUCAGAGGAGCCGGUUGUACUGUGUUGUUCGUUGUUAUAUGUAUUUGUAUGUCUAUUUUAUCAGAGGAGCCGGUUGUACUGUGUUGUUCGUUGUUAUAUGUAUUUGUAUGUCUAUUUUAUCAGAGGAGCCGGUUGUACUGUGUUGUUCGUUGUUAUAUGUAUUUGUAUGUCUAUUUUAUCAGAGGACGGCCGGUUGUACUGUGUUGUUCGUUGUUAUAUGUAUUUGUUUGUCUAUUUUAUCAGAGGAGCCGGUUGUACUGUGUUAAAUUGUUCGUUGUUGUAUGUAUUUGUUUGUCUAUUUUAUCAGAGGAGCCGGUUGUACUGUGUUGUUCGUUGUUGUAU
rnacentral:lncRNA from 1 species